GGGAACUGCGUUNUGAACUGGGUGACUAGAGUGUNUCAGAGGGAGGUAGAAUUCCACGUGUAGCAGUGAAAUGCGUAGAGAUGUGGAGGAAUACCGAUGGCGAAGGCAGCCUCCUGGGAUAACACUGACGUUCAUGCCCGAAAGCGUGGGUAGCAAACAGGAUUAGAUACCCUGGUAGUCCACGCCCUAAACGAUGUCGAUUAGCUGUUGGGCAGCAUGACUGCUUAGUAGCGAAGCUAACGCGUGAAAUCGACCGCCUGGGGAGUACGGUCGCAAGAUUAAAACUCAAAGGAAUUGACGGGGACCCGCACAAGCGGUGGAUGAUGUGGAUUAAUUCGAUGCAACGCGAAGAACCUUACCUGUCUUGACAUGUACGGAAUCCUCCAGAGACGGAGGAGUGCCUUCGGGAGCCGUAACACAGGUGCUGCAUGGCUGUCGUCAGCUCGUGUCGUGAGAUGUUGGGUUAAGUCCCGCAACGAGCGCAACCCUUGUCAUUAGUUGCCAUCAUUAAGUUGGGCACUCUAAUGAGACUGCCGGUGACAAGCCGGAGGAAGGUGGGGAUGACGUCAAGUCCUCAUGGCCCUUAUGACCAGGGCUUCACACGUCAUACAAUGGUCGGUACAGAGGGUAGCCAAGCCGCGAGGCGGAGCCAAUCUCACAAAACUGAUCGUAGUCCGGAUUGCACUCUGCAACUCGAGUGCAUGAAGUCGGAAUCGCUAGUAAUCGCAGGUCAGCAUACUGCGGUGAAUACGUUCCCGGGUCUUGUACACACCGCCCGUCACACCAUGGGAGUGGGGGAUACCAGAAGUAGGUAGGGUA
rnacentral:rRNA from 1 species